AAAUAUGACUCUCGGCAACGGAUAUCUCGGCUCUCGCAUCGAUGAAGAACGUAGCGAAAUGCGAUACUUGGUGUGAAUUGCAGAAUCCCGUGAACCAUCGAGUCUUUGAACGCAAGUUGCGCCCGAAGCCGUCAGGCCGAGGGCACGUCUGCCUGGGCG
rnacentral:rRNA from 1 species